rnacentral:rRNA from 1 species
AGUGAACGCUGGCGGUAGGCCUAACACAUGCAAGUCGAACGGCAGCACAGGAGAGCUUGCUCUCUGGGUGGCGAGUGGCGGACGGGUGAGGAAUACAUCGGAAUCUACUUUUUCGUGGGGGAUAACGUAGGGAAACGUACGCUAAUACCGCAUACGACCUACGGGUGAAAGCAGGGGAUCUUCGGACCUUGCGCGAUUGAAUGAGCCGAUGUCGGAUUAGCUAGUUGUCGGGGUAAAGGCCCACCAAGGCGACGAUCUGUAGCUGGUCUGAGAGGAUGAUCAGCCACACUGGAACUGAGACACGGUCCAGACUCCUACGGGAGGCAGCAGUGGGGAAUAUUGGACAAUGGGCGCAAGCCUGAUCCAGCCAUACCGCGUGGGUGAAGAGGGCCUUCGGGUUGUAAAGCCCUUUUGUUGGGAAAGAAAUCCAGCUGGUUAAUACCCGGUUGGGAUGACGGUACCCAAAGAAUAAGCACAGGCUAACUUCGUGCCAGCAGCCGCGGUAA